CCUACGGGUGGCUGCAGUGGGGAAUAUUGCGCAAUGGUCGAAAGACUGACGCAGCGACGCCGCGUGGAGGAUGACGCCCUUCGGGGUGUAAACUCCUGUUGCUCGGGACGAAACCUCCUUUCGAGGAGACUGACGGUACCGAGUGAGGAAGCACCGGCUAACUCUGUGCCAGCAGCCGCGGUAAUACAGAGGGUGCGAGCGUUGUCCGGUGGCACUGGAGGUAAAGGGCGCGUAUUGGGCUGGGUGCGCGGAAAGCUCGGGGCUCAACCCCGAGUCUGCCGUGCGAACUGCCGAGCUGGAGCACGGUAGAGGCACAUGGAAUUCCGGGUGUAGCGGUGGAAUGCGUAGAGAUCCGGAAGAACACCGGUGGCGAAGGCGGUGUGCUGGGCCGUAGCUGACGCUGAGGCGCGACAGCGUGGGGAGCAAACAGGAUUAGAUACCCCGGUAGUC
rnacentral:rRNA from 1 species